UGUGUGUGCCCUCCACUCACCACAGUGGC
rnacentral:piRNA from 1 species